UUCUGGCUCAGGAUGAACGCUGGCGGCGUGCCUAACACAUGCAAGUCGAACGAGCACUUCGGUGCGAGUGGCGGACGGGUGAGUAACGCGUGGGUAACCUGCCUUACACAGGGGGACAACAGUUGGAAACGACUGCUAAUACCGCAUAAGCCCACGGGACCGCAUGGUUCUGUGAGAAAAGAUUUAUCGGUGUAAGAUGGACCCGCGUCUGAUUAGAUAGUUGGUGGGGUAACGGCCUACCAAGUCGACGAUCAGUAGCCGACCUGAGAGGGUGAUCGGCCACAUUGGGACUGAGACACGGCCCAAACUCCUACGGGAGGCAGCAGUGGGGAAUAUUGCGCAAUGGGGGGAACCCUGACGCAGCAACGCCGCGUGAGUGAAGAAGUAUUUCGGUAUGUAAAGCUCUACCAGCGGGGACGAACAAGGACGGUACCCGCAGAAGAAGUCCCGGCUAACUACGUGCCAGCCGCCGC
rnacentral:rRNA from 1 species